rnacentral:rRNA from 1 species
GACGAACGCUGGCGGCGCGCUUAACACAUGCAAGUCGAACGGUGAACCGGGCUUCGGCCCGGGGAUCAGCGGCGAACGGGUGCGUAACACGUGGGCAACCUGCCCCCCACUCUGGGAUAACCCCGGGAAACCGGAGCUAAUACCGGAAACUCCGACCGGUCCGCAUGGUCCGAUCGGGAAAGGUCCGCAGGUGAGGGAUGGGCCCGCGGCCUAUCAGCUUGUUGGUGAGGUAACGGCUCACCAAGGCGACGACGGGUAGCUGGUCUGAGAGGACGACCAGCCACACUGGGACUGAGAUACGGCCCAGACUCCUACGGGAGGCAGCAGUGGGGAAUCUUGCGCAAUGGGCGAAAGCCUGACGCAGCGACGCCGCGUGGGGGACGAAGGCCCUCGGGUUGUAAACCCCUUUCGGCAGGGACGAAGCGAUCGUGACGGUACCUGCAGAAGAAGCCUCGGCUAACUACGUGCCAGCAGCCGCCGUAA